AUGUAGAGAUUUUGACACUGUUGC
rnacentral:siRNA from 1 species